GGGAAAGUUGAAAAGAACUUUGAAGAGAGAGUUCAAUAGUACGUGAAACCUCUCGGGGGUAAGCGGGCAGAACUUGCAAGUAUUGUCAGGAGAUUCAGACUUGAGUUUAGUAGUUGAGUACUUUUGUUAAGUUGUUCAUUCGUGAACUGACUGAUUGAUGUACUUUAUUCUGCUGAAUAUGUGUCGCACUUCUCCUUGUCAUCCGGGUUGCAUGCAACUGAUUUUGGUAGUUUAGGUUUUGAGAAUCUGUGAGUCAUUCAUUCGUGAUUGAUUUAAGUCUUGAAUUUCCAACUAUUGAUGCGGUUGUAAGAAAAUAGCGAACAAGCGUUUGACGCGGUCAAUUAUUUUUACGAGUCGUGUACGUAUUUUAUAUGGACGAGCAAUCGUAGUAUAUUUUAUGUGCUGGUUGUCAGUAAGAGUAACUUUGGCAUUGUUCUGUAUUG
rnacentral:rRNA from 1 species